rnacentral:rRNA from 1 species
UACGUAGGGUGCAAGCGUUAAUCGGAAUUACUGGGCGUAAAGCGUGCGCAGGCGGUUUUGUAAGUCUGUCGUGAAAUCCCCGGGCUUAACCUGGGAAUGGCGAUGGAGACUGCAAGGCUAGAGUUUGGCAGAGGGGGGUAGAAUUCCGCGUGUAGCAGUGAAAUGCGUAGAGAUGUGGAGGAACACCGAUGGCGAAGGCAGCCCCCUGGGUUAACACUGACGCUCAUGCACGAAAGCGUGGGGAGCAAACAGG